rnacentral:misc_RNA from 1 species
UCAAUUGCUGAAAUUGGAUGGAAUUAUGGCUGAUGGGGAUGUGAAACUACAGAGGAAAGUGCAGGUGAGAAGAGUUCAGAAGUAUGUAGAGACUCUUGAUAUGUUGAAGUUGAAGAACUCCAUGCCUAAUGGCAAUGGGAAUCAUAUACCAAUGCGGCAUCAGGAAAAGCAUAAUUCAAAUGGACAGAGACUAGCCCCAAUUCAAGAACAAUCGCCGAGGCAUUCCAAUGGGCAAACACUAAUACCAAUAGAAGAGGAGCAACCUAGGCACUUGCCGGCUCACCGUCAUCAGCGACAGAAUUCAACGUCAGGGGCAGUUGUUGUUACUACACAAUGGGAAACCUUUGAUUCUGCCCCUUCAUUGCUGCCAGAACCUUCAACGUCCACAUCCACCUCAGCCACAAAUAAUAAUUCAGUUCAUCAACCUAAGUUCCCAUGGGAUUUCUUCGGCUAGGCUUUAUUCCACAGCCAACAAGAUGUUGUUUUCUUCGAAUGUGUGUGGAUGUGCUUUGGGUUUGUGUCCAGUUGGUUUGUUAUCAUCUCCAUUCUUGAAUGGUAGAUUUAUAAAGGCAAGGGUGCUAAUAAAAUUUAAAUACAUAAAAGAAUGGAGAUGAUAACAAACCAACUG